rnacentral:rRNA from 1 species
CGGUUGAUCCUGCCGGAGGUCACUGCUAUCAGUGUUCGACUAAGCCAUGCAAGUCAAAUGUUCUUCGUGAACAUGGCGGACUGCUCAGUAACACGUGGAUAACCUGCCCUUAGGAUUGGCAUAACACCGGGAAACUGGUGAUAAUACCGAAUAGACCAUUUAUGCUGGAAUGCUUUUUGGUUCAAAGGCUUCGGCUGCCUAAGGAUGGAUCUGCGGCCUAUCAGGUAGUAGUGGGUGUAAUGUACCUACUAGCCUACGACGGGUACGGGUUGUGAGAGCAAGAGCCCGGAGAUGGAUUCUGAGACAUGAAUCCAGGCCCUACGGGGCGCAGCAGGCGCGAAAACUUUACAAUGCGGGAAACCGCGAUAAGGGGACACUGAGUGCCAGCAUAUUAUGUUGGCUGUCCACAUGUAUAAAAACCAUGUGUUAGCAAGGGCCGGGCAAGACCGGUGCCAGCCGCCGCGGUAACACCGGCGGCCCGAGUGGUGAUCACUUUUAUUGGGUCUAAAGGGUCCGUAGCCGGUUUGAUCAGUCUUCUGGGAAAUCUGACAGCUCAACUGUUAGGCUUUCAGGGGAUACUGUCAGACUUGGGACCGGGAGAGGUAAGAGGUACUACAGGGGUAGGAGUGAAAUCUUGUAAUCCCUGUGGGACCACCAGUGGCGAAGGCGUCUUACCAGAACGGGUCCGACGGUGAGGGACGAAAGCUGGGGGCACGAACCGGAUUAGAUACCCGGGUAGUCCCAGCCGUAAACGAUGUUCGCUAGGUGUCAGGGACGGUGCGACCGUUUCUGGUGCCGUAGGGAAGCCGUGAAGCGAACCACCUGGGAAGUACGGCCGCAAGGCUGAAACUUAAAGGAAUUGGCGGGGGAGCACUACAACGGGUGGAGCCUGCGGUUUAAUUGGAUUCAACGCCGGAAAACUCACCGGGUGCGACAGCAAUAUGUAGGUCAGGCUGAAGGUCUUACCUGAUCGCUGAGAGGAGUGCAUGAUGUCGUCAGGUCGUACUGUGAGGCAUCUGAUAGUCAGGCCAACGAGGCGGAGAAACCUCGGGCGCUCUCACAGAG